AUCAACCUUUUUGAUGAAAAAUAUUGUCAAUUUUGCUUACUGAGGACUGAUGUGAUUUGCAUUGGACUUUGCUACGUGGAACUAUAGUAGCACCAUCUCUUAUCUUGAAACACAGUGACAGAGGGUUGAAAGAUGAGGAUGAGGUAUUAAAUAGAAUAAAAAGUCAAAUUAAAUAGAAAAUAUGGAUGCUGUGUUUUUGAGAAAACAUAUUGGCGAGUGCCUAUCGACAUGCUUAGCCGAAGUGGCUGAGAAACGACCACAAGAUCCCAUAGAAUACAUUGGACAAUGGCUGCAUAAUUACAUUAAAAACCAAAAAUAUUUAAAAGAGAAAAGUUUAGAAGACAAAAAGUUAAAUGAUGAGCGAGUUGAGUUUGAAUUAGAAGAAAAGAGAAAGGCUUCCAUGGCAACAGAAGCUGAACAAUUUUCUAAAAUAGAAGCUGAAGCUAAACAGGUUGAAGAAAGUAACAAACCUAUAGAUGGUGGUAAUUCAACUUCUAAAUUACCUACAUUGGUAGAAGGUGAUGAACCUAAAUCUUCUCCCUCAGCAGAAUAAGAAUAGAAGUUAAUAUUUAACUCCAGAUGAACCAAUCCUUUGAUUUGUUAAUACUCAAAGCACUAAAUCAAAAUGUCACGGUGUAAUGGAAGUGGGCAGUAAUCAAAAUAAUAUAUUGUGUAAACUCUGAUGCAUAAUGAUAUUUAAAUGUUUAAAGUUUUAAAAUUAGAAAUUAAAUGUUAAUAUACUAAUGCAAGAGGUAGAAUUGUCAAGUGAAAACUAAUAUUGGUUCACUAGUAAACUGUUUAAAAUAUAGAGAUUUAUAAUACCGGGUCAAUACUUUAAUAACAUAUCUAAAAUUGUCUGAAUAACUGUAUAAAAAACAUUUCUAAUAUACACAUAUUUUCCAAUUUUAUGCCAGUUUUGGACAGUCUCUGCUCUUGACUGUAAUUGUGAAUAAAAGAUAUUUUACUUAACUAUUUAUAUUAAUGAAAUUUGUUAUAUUUCGUUAAUCUGUAAUGUGCAUAAUAUCUUCACCAAAGCUUUAAUAUAUAUUGACAUUUUAUUUUAAGCAUGGAUCUAAUAGAUCUAUUAAUAUAUAUUUAUUUAUAUCCCAUGA